UACGGAGGGGGCUAGCGUUGUUCGGAAUUACUGGGCGUAAAGCGUGCGUAGGCGGUUUGUUAAGUCUGUUGUGAAAUCCCCGGGCUCAACCUGGGAAUGGCAAUGGAUACUGGCAGGCUAGAGUGUGUCAGAGGAUGGUGGAAUUCCCGGUGUAGCGGUGAAAUGCGUAGAGAUCGGGAGGAACAUCAGUGGCGAAGGCGGCCAUCUGGGACAACACUGACGCUGAGGCACGAAAGCGUGGGGAGCAAACAGG
rnacentral:rRNA from 1 species